GUCCAGCUCUACUCUGCACCUGUGGUUUCUAUGCACUCUCAGUAUAUCUUUACAAACUCAGCUGGACUUGAGCCCCGGGACUCUGGUUUAUGGCUCCAAACUUCAAAUCCAUUUAAAUGGAUUGGCUCAAUGACACUUGGAAAUGCAAUAAGCUCUACAAGCUUUUCUAGCAAUGGCCACUUUCAGCUCUUACAAAAUGUCCUGAAGCAGCGGAGGUUGGGCCUAGAGAACCUGCCAAAGUCCGCUGAUGUUGCCUAUAUAGAAUACACCACAAUUCCAGGGUCACGGAGAAGUCUGGGUGAUUACCUUGGCAGUGGCAUGGUUGAGCAUCUCCUGCCAGGUUGGGUCCAUGGUGUUCCUGUCAGCCAAGAGGCCCUGCUCUGCCACAUAAACCAUCUCUCUGGCAGCAGUGUGCAUGGAUACGGCCCUCUCAUAUCUCAGAGCUGCCUUCUGGGUUUCUUGUUGGGCCUGGGGGAACAGACAGCAGCAGCUAAAUAAAAUUCUAACCAAUCAGAAAAUCAGCUGCAACAAUAAAAAGGGUGCACUCAAUUAAAGGCUGCAAGGAGAGUGGAGCUGGUCUUUCCAGCAAACAGUGUUUUUCCAACUCCUUUUAACUUGGCACUGUUAGCUUACAGAUCACAUACUGUGCAUAUAUGCCGUUGGGCCUUAAACACAACCACACAACAGAGAGGAACUUUAAAGCUCCUGCUUUACAUGCUCUCUUUGUUCUGACCAUGUGUGUUCAUGCUUGUACACGUGAGACACACUGAAGCUUAACAAAGAAGCUCACACAUGCGUAUACACACACACACACACACACACACUCUCCUUAUCACACACACCUCUUCUUCUUUAGUUUAGUGCAUUUCAUUAAGAUUU